UCAACAGAAAAUCUCCUGAGAUAUAACUAACCAUAGAGACAAUAACAAUAUAGGUUAGACAUCUUGAAGACACUUCAUAAAACAAGAAUAAUUCACUGAUUUAUUACCUAAGAAGCAUAUUUUGCUAAUGGAACUCUCUCAUGAAUGCUAAUUAAAAUCUCACCAGGCCUUCAAGAGUAAUUUCCAAAUAAUUUCUGGGCCGUGACUUUCUGUCACCCAUUCAGAUGACAAAAUCUUCUCCUGGAAGAAUGUCCUGCACUGUGCAGAUAUGACUACCACUUCUCUAGAUUUAUGUGCCACCUUGGACUCCUAAAAUUUCCCUGUACUGAAUAAACACUUAUCCAAGUUG